GAUCGUUGCAGCUGGAGGAGGUGACGUGCAAAUCUGUCGUGCUGGGCGCUGCACACGACUGGACUCUGCUCAGAAGCGAGAGCAGCCCUGUGGCCUGCCACCCUUAGAGACUGCAGGGGCUUGAAAAUCCUCGCUAUCCGAGCCCUGCCCUUCGGCUUCCCGCGGUUGGCUGCCCCGCGCCCUCAGCCGGUGCUUCCUCCGCCCUGCACGCCUCACCCCUAAAGCCUCGCCAGCUGGCGGCUCGCGCAGCAAGAUCCCCAAUUGCUAGCGAGCCGCGGGGAUCCUCUUCCUGUCCCAAGGGAUCAUGCCAGUCGGGGCUUUGCGCCUUCAAGGGUGGGGCCUGCGACGAGCCCAUCUGGAAAAAACCUCCCAAGACCUGAAGCGCCACUUCCUUCUUCCAUUACUGGCAGAUAGUGUGCUUUCCCCCUGAGCUCACAGAACCAGAGUGAAAGGCAAGGUGACAUCAAAAAAACACUGCAAUCAAGGCCAGUUCUGGAACAGAAGACUUAAGUUUGAGGUCUGUUAAGACCUCCUUUAGUGUUUAUUAAAUAAAUGUCAUUGCAUUUUAUCCAGAGUAAACAAUGAGCUCUGUGGAGUGUCAAAAAAAAUUAUCUCUAUCACCCAGCUUAGCUACACUAAAUGCUGUAACCCUUCACCUUCCAAAGUACUUCGUUCUUGAUAAUACUUUUUUUUUAAGAAAAGGAACUUUUACGAGAAAUAACUGG